GACAGAGGGUGCAAACGUUGUUCGGAAUUACUGGGCGUAAAGCGCGUGUAGGCGGCCCGGAAAGUCGGAUGUGAAAGCCCUGGGCUUAACCUAGGAAGUGCAUUCGAAACUGCCGUGGCUUGAGUUCUGGAGAGGAAGGCGGAAUUCUCGGUGUAGAGGUGAAAUUCGUAGAUAUCGAGAGGAACACCGGUGGCGAAGGCGGCCUUCUGGACAGUGACUGACGCUGAGACGCGAAAGCGUGGGGAGCAAACAGG
rnacentral:rRNA from 1 species